rnacentral:rRNA from 1 species
CAGUUAAAAAGCUCGUAGUCGGAUUUCAGUAUUAGGCCCUUCUCCCAAUACGGUUGUAAGUGGUCUUUACUUCCUUAACAGAAUCUUUCAUCUCAUUAAUUUGGGGUGUUUGGGGCCUGUUUCUUUUACUUUGAGAAAAUUAGAGUGUUCAAAGCGGGUUUUCGCCUGAAUAUUACUCUUGGGAUAAUAAUAUAGGACUUUGGUUCUUUUUUGUUGGUGACUUAGAACCGAAGUAAUGAUUGAUAGGGACAGUUGGGGUCAUUCGUACUAUGAAGCGAGAGGUGAAAUUCUUGGACCUUUGUAUGACGAACUACUGUGAAAGCAUUUGACUAGGAUGUUCCCGUUGAUCAAGAACGAAAGUUGGGGGAUCGAAGACGAUCAGAUACCGUCGUAGUCUCAACCAUAAACUAUGCCAGCUAGGGAUUGGAGGAAGAUCAUUUUACGUCUCCUUCAGCACCUUAUGAGAAAUCAAAGCAUUUGGGUUCCGGGGGGAGUAUGGU